CUGAACGAGGUGACCCAACAGAGCUGCAGCAAGUACCAGGAGGAUGGAGGUGGAGGCAGGAGGAACCCACUGAGACCACAGCAGAGCUGAGCUGCACUGCUGCAGUCACUCCCUGCUGCCACAGCUCCUGCGUGACAGUGCUGAGAGCAUCCCGCUAUUAGCAGCCUGGUGAUAGCUCCCGAUGGAACAUGAUUUCUCUGGAAGACGUAAAUUGCAAUCUUAAGGAAGCUCCAUCAGAGCCUGAACCUCCAGAAUUUGUGAUGGAAUAGCAACACAGAAGGAUGUAGUCAACAUCUUUCACACAAGAUUUGAUAAGAAAGUGUCCACUCUAAGCCAGUCAGUCAUCUGGAUUGCAUCUGUGGUCAGUGGAGGGGAUCAGCCACUUCAGAAGAAUUAUGAGUGAUUGAGGCCAAGAAACCAUUAAAUGAGGUGAAAGGUCUGGGCUAGAGGGCAUCUUGAGCAAGUCUAAUGAAGUCAUGGUUGCUUCAGUGGCCACGUUCCCAAGGGAUUUUGCUGUGUCUGUCACUGCAUCUCUGUUCCUCCUCUGGAUCUGGCUCCCUGGGCUUUGCUGUUACGUUCCAGGAACCCUGCGUAGCCCUACACCAGCAGCUCGGUGGCGUGUAGCAUCCCUGUGUCAGAACAAAGACAUGUGGGACAUGAUUUAGCUCAGCCAACAUUUGGUGUCUGUCAUACAGACAUUUACCUGUGGGCUGGUCUUGCCUGCCUGCCUUUAUUGUCAGCAAAGAGCGGCAGGAGCUUACAAGGCACAAUUUAGCUCAACCGAGUGUGAAUUUCUAAUAUAUGCUAAAAGUGCCAAUUUAUCUGUGACUUAAAAUGGAGUCCUAAGGUGAUUAACUCACAAAUGGACGCCUACAGUUUAAAUAUCUCCAUUUGUUCAAUGAACUCUACCCACACAAUGAGCAUUACUCCAGUGCAAACUAUAUAUUAGAGCUUUCUCUGCUGUGUUUGGGCUUAUCCCUUCAUGCAUCUUGUAUUUAAGCCUGUAUCCAGGACUACAGCAAAAUAACUGAAAUGGUUUAGCUUGUGUCCCAACAUGAGCAAGUGGCCUAGGAAGUGCAUGAUGUUUACCUUAUUGUCCUACCCUCUCCUCUUUGCCAUUCCUUUGCAUUACCCUGACCACCCUGCCUCAGCCGCACAGCUCCACUCAUGACUUUGUGUGUCAGAGGCAAGUCUGUUCAACAACAAAAGAAACCCCUGCACCAAGGGUCGGAGCCGGAUGACUGAUCAACAUGGGAGGGCAUGCUCUGCUCCUCUGUACCUAAGUAAACUUCAUCUG
ensembl:lncRNA